UGCAAGUCGAGCGGGCGUAGCAAUACGUCAGCGGCAGACGGGUGAGUAACGCGUGGGAACGUACCUUUUGGUUCGGAACAACACAGGGAAACUUGUGCUAAUACCGGAUAAGCCCUUACGGGGAAAGAUUUAUCGCCGAAAGAUCGGCCCGCGUCUGAUUAGCUAGUUGGUAGGGUAACGGCCUACCAAGGCGACGAUCAGUAGCUGGUCUGAGAGGAUGAUCAGCCACAUUGGGACUGAGACACGGCCCAAACUCCUACGGGAGGCAGCAGUGGGGAAUAUUGGACAAUGGGGGCAACCCUGAUCCAGCCAUGCCGCGUGAGUGAUGAAGGCCCUAGGGUUGUAAAGCUCUUUUGUGCGGGAAGAUAAUGACGGUACCGCAAGAAUAAGCCCCGGCUAACUUCGUGCCAGCAGCCGCGGUAAUACGAAGGGGGCUAGCGUUGCUCGGAAUCACUGGGCGUAAAGGGUGCGUAGGCGGGUCUUUAAGUCAGGGGUGAAAUCCUGGAGCUCAACUCCAGAACUGCCUUUGAUACUGAAGAUCUUGAGUUCGGGAGAGGUGAGUGGAACUGCGAGUGUAGAGGUGAAAUUCGUAGAUAUUCGCAAGAACACCAGUGGCGAAGGCGGCUCACUG
rnacentral:rRNA from 1 species